AAUAAGGUGCCUGAGUUAAAAGGAUUAUUUUGAUAGAAUAAAUUAUGUAGAGUAUACCCUUAUUA
rnacentral:tRNA from 1 species